rfam:Triticum aestivum genome assembly, contig: Triticum_aestivum_CS42_TGACv1_scaffold_556982_7AL
UUACUACUCCCUCCGUUCGGAAUUACUUGUCUUGGAAAUGGAUGUAUCUAGAACUAAAAUACAUCUAGAUACAUUCAUUUCUGCGACAAGUAAUUCCGAACGGAGGGAGUACAUA